UUCUUUCAUUCAGCCGACAAUACUCUUCUUCCUUCUCUCUUCUAUUUCUGAAAUUGAAUAAAGACGCUGAUGAUGUUGAAAUCAAGAGCUUUUGUUGGUGGUCUGAGUUGGAUGAGAAGCAAAAAUUAAGGGUUUAACAGUUUAGAGAUCAGUGGGUAUUCAUCAAACGAAGUUUGAGAGCAAAGAAGAAAAGGGGUUUUGGGGUUCCUGAAUUCUCAAAGUUCGACAGAGAAGAGGGUGUUGCUAAUCGAAUUACAGAAGAAGAAUAAGUGGAUUUGAAUGAAAGUUUCAUAGCAAGGGAUAUAUUGAGGUUUUGUGGUCAAGUAAUAGAUGGGUUUGAUGAUUCGAGGGGCUUGGAAGGAAGAGAAGAACAUGGAGAAAUUAUACAGGGUUAGGGUUUGAUUUGAGCAGAAAUUCAUGGGGUUAUGAUGAUGAUUGUGCUGAUGGUGAAUGAAAUUGGAGCAAUUAAUGAUGAUUUAAGGUUCUUAGAAGAAGAAUCUAGGUCGAUUUCAGAUUCCAGUGUUGAAUUGAUGAUGUUUGCGAUUUUGUUCGAGCAAGUAAUGGGUUGUCUUCAAUGCACACUGUUGCAUCUCUUGGGAAUAUGAAGUCUCUUCCGUAAGAUAUUAUGUUAGAGAUACUUUCUCGGUGCCACUUGAGUCUGUUUACGAGUGCAAACUAGUAUGCAAAAAGCACUUCAUUCGUCAGCUUCACCGGCUGUAUGAUAAAUAUGGCAAUAAUGAUGACAUCGCUGCUACAGAAGAGGUGGACUUAGAUGAUAUUGCAGGUGGCUGCUUAGAUGUAUGCUUAGGUCACAGGAGGUGGAUAUGCGGGUGGCAGUUGGUAUGAGCUGAAUUGAUUGUGCUCGAGUUGGUAAUGCAGUUGCAGUUGGAGCUGUUGAAUCUGUGACCGAGAUGAAGUUGCGGUUAAUGUUGCAGCUGGAUGUUGAGGUUGUUCGAGUCACUGGUGAAUUUUAGAUAUGGAGAAGAAGAUGUUCUCUGCUGGUGAUUGUAUAAUGGAAUGGGUUGCAAUUGCAGUCCAUGUUAAUGGAGGAGAUGAACUGUAGAUGUAUGCUUAGGAAUGAAUUGGUACAGUGUGAAUACAAGACUGAGAAAGUGAUGGUUUGAUGUUCAAUAUAUGUAUGUUAGGAAUUUAAAGAGAGGUGUUGCUUGAAUUGUAAGGAUUUGAGUUGGAUUACUUAGCUCAAACUGGUGACAUUACAAGCUGAGUCAAAGAUGUAAGCAGAGAGGGGUCUCAACUGAAGUUACAGUGAGAUGGUUGGUGAUACUUCCAUGGCUAGGUAGUGAUGAAUUCAAGAUUUAGUUGACGAAGAUGUUAUUAUUGAGGCUUAAUGGUAAGCGAAGUACAUGAUUGUGCUGGUAUGGAGUAAGGGAAGACAAUGGAUGCGCAGGUCUGAAUUGCAGGUGAUGGUGAGAAGUUGUGGGAUUGAAGCUAUAGAAGACUGAAGAGAUGGAGGUAAUUAUGGAGUUGGUAUGGUGAAGCUGAAAGAGCUGUAUUUGUUGCAAUUCAUGGAAGUAAUGUAUUGCAGGAAGUUUUGAGGUUAUGCAGUUGAGAUUUAAAUCAAGGAUGAAGCAGCUGAGAGUACAGGAAUUGCAGGAGUUAGAGAAAUGCAAUGAUGUGCUGAAUGUAUAUGAACUGAGCAUGAGAAUGGUUGAAAGCAUGUUGGUUGACUGCUUUGUAUUGUAGAGCAUGGUGAAGUGGAGUUGAUUUGGAGCAGCAGAAGAAGGGGCCAUUACGGCUGGGACUAGACUCGACUCGGCGUUUCAAAUCAAUGAUUCAAGGAAAUCCAACUCUACUCAGGAGGAGGGGCUUUUUGGGUAUUUCGACCUGCCACCUAAGCGUUAACAGUUGUUAACUGUCGUAUACCGUUUUCUGAAUAAAACGGUCAAGGCAAGGGUACUUUAACAAAUUUAAAAAAACAUGGGCAUUUUUUUAGUGUAAUGUUAAAAGUAGGGGUACUUUAUCAAAAAGCCCUAAAUCAAUUCAUGCUAUUGUUACAAACGACCCUAGCAAAGGUGAGUGGUUCCUAUCUUGUGUUUACGGAACACCUUAUAAAAAAGAUCAACAAGUCCAAUGGUCUAGUUUUCUGGAUCUUACUAAA